UAACAUGAAAAUAUUAGUAUUUUGUCUUAAAUUACAUGCUUAUUUUAAAUUAAACUGAUUCUUUAAGGGUUUGCACAUCCAGCACCACUAAUUGAAGAAAAUAUUCAAGAGGAGACACAAUCUCCCAAACUAAAGAAGUUAUCCUCAAUAGCAUCAUCAGGAUAUGAAACACCUGUUGUUCACAACUUCCCAUUGCCUGAUCAGCAGAUAUCAUCCCUCUCUGUCCCGUCAGCCCUCAGUACGAGUGGCUCUCUUCCAGAUCUAUCCAGCCUCCACCUGCCUUCUCCUCUUCAUGUAGGCCAGGAUUCUGAGCCCCACAGUGGUGCGGAACAAUUGAGCAAUGCAUCCACGUACCCUGACGUUAUGGCUGGCUUUAACUUACCAG